UUUUGAAUAGAAGAAAAAGUGCCUCAUCUCUGAAAAGUGCCUCAAAAAAAAUAAAAUUCUUUAAAAGUGUGUAAACAUGUCAUAUUCCCUAUUUUUAAAUACAACUCA
rnacentral:sRNA from 1 species